UACGUAGGGUGCGAGCGUUAAUCGGAAUUACUGGGCGUAAAGCGUGCGCAGGCGGUCUGUUAAGACCGAUGUGAAAUCCCCGGGCUUAACCUGGGAACUGCAAUGGAAACUGGCGGGCUUGAGUGUGGCAGAGGGGGGUGGAAUUCCGCGUGUAGCAGUGAAAUGCGUAGAGAUGCGGAGGAACACCGAUGGCGAAGGCAGCCCCCUGGGCCAACACUGACGCUCAGGCACGAAAGCGUGGGGAUCAAACAGG
rnacentral:rRNA from 1 species